GGCGAACGGGUGAGUAACACGUGGGUGAUCUGCACUGCACUUCGGGAUAAGCCUGGGAAACUGGGUCUAAUACCGGAUAGGACCAUGCUUUAGUGUGUGUGGUGGAAAGUUUUUCGGUGUAGGAUGAGCCCGCGGCCUAUCAGCUUGUUGGUGGGGUAAUGGCCUACCAAGGCGGCGACGGGUAGCCGGCCUGAGAGGGUGUACGGCCACAUUGGGACUGAGAUACGGCCCAG
rnacentral:rRNA from 1 species